GACGAACGCUGGCGGCGUGCUUAACACAUGCAAGUCGAACGGGAUUUAGUAAACAGAAACCUCGGUGGAAGAUUACUAAUGAGAGUGGCGAACGGGUGAGUAACGCGUGAGCAACCUGCCUAUGACAGUGGGAUAGCCUCGGGAAACCGGGAUUAAUACCGCAUAAAAUCGUAGAAACACAUGUUUUAACGGUCAAAGAUUUAUCGGUCAUAGAUGGGCUCGCGUCUGAUUAGCUAGUUGGUGAGAUAACAGCCCACCAAGGCGACGAUCAGUAGCCGGUCUGAGAGGAUGAACGGCCACAUUGGAACUGAGACACGGUCCAAACUCCUACGGGAGGCAGCAGUGGGGAAUAUUGCACAAUGGGGGAAACCCUGAUGCAGCGACGCCGCGUGAACGAAGAAGGUAUUCGUAUCGUAAAGUUCUGGCCUAUGGGAAGAUAAUGACAGUACCAUAGAAGAAAGCUCCGGCUAAAUACGUG
rnacentral:rRNA from 1 species